rnacentral:ncRNA from 1 species
UACGACAAAGGCAAACCCUGAGUGAUCAGGGGGCGCAAAGUAAAGGGUCUUUCAGGAUACAAGGAUGUGGCGUAAGAUUGCCUUACUGCCGAAG